CAACUUUACAGUUUGGGGCAGGUUGGCUGUUAGCUGGAAUGCCAUCUGGGUACUGAGGACCUUGCCCAUUAAACAGGAGCUCCUGUUUAAUGUCUUGACACAAGAAAUGUAGGUGAAUAUCAUGAUGAAGUUGGUUUGAUAAUUCUAGAAAGUCAGUGAAUGGCCAGAAAUCCUCAACUCAGAACUGAAGCAAGUAAUUUAUAGAAAUUUGAGGAGACUUCUUACAAAGCAGAGGAGCAGACAGCAUUCUAGAUGUGGACGGCUUUCCCAAGAUCACAGAUCAAGACAUCUCCUCGUCACUGUAAAACCUUUGUUCCUUUUCUUCUUUGCCCUG